rnacentral:lncRNA from 12 species
CAGGAGCAGCCGCCUCCCCUAGGGCCCACGUCCCUUCGCAGGGCGCUGGGCAAAGAUCACACGCCUCUGUGAGUCAGUCCUGGCAGAGGUUUGCUCGCCCGGCUCAGAACCUUGGUGCCUUUGUCCCCCUUCCAGGGAGACGCGCCAUGGCUUGAGCCCCUUGUGUUCCUGCAUCGCCACGCACCUGCGCAGCCUGCCCAUCUGGGGGCCGCCUCGCUGGGGUCUGGCGGCGCUGGCAUUCUUUGUGGAGGUGAGCCUGAGGGCCGGCAGCCGUGGCCCUGCCCAGCGCCGCNUGGCCAGGUGAGACCCCCUUCUCCCUGCUGCCAGCAUUGGUGCCCUGAGCCUGGAGUGCCCCACAUAGUCCCCGUGGUUGUGGCCAGAGGGCAUUGGCACCGAGGGACGGCCGAGCAGGCUGGAAGAGGCUGGGAGAGGGGGGGGCCCAGGAGCAGCCGCCUCCCCUCGGGCCCACGUCCCUUCGCAGGGCGCUGGGCAAAGAUCACACGCCUCUGUGAGUCAGUCCUGGCAGAGGUUUGCUCGCCCGGCUCAGAACCUUGGUGCCUUUGUCCCCCUUCCAGGGAGACGCGCCAUGGCUUGAGCCCCUUGUGUUCCUGCAUCGCCACGCACCUGCGCAGCCUGCCCAUCUGGGGGCCGCCUCGCUGGGGUCUGGCGGCGCUGGCAUUCUUUGUGGAGCAGCUGCAGGACAAGAACCCAGCGGCGGAAGAACCAGUGUCCUUUGGCGACCGCCGCAUGCAAUUGAAGAUAGGACCAGCUGUAGAGCACACAGGACCAGCUGGAGAUCCAGGCACAGCUCUUGUUUGUCACAGCUGAGCCUGUGGCAAGCUCCAGGAGCUCCUGCCAUCUCCCUCCCUGUUGGCAGCUUCUUCCCUCCCUCCCUCCCUCCCUCCCUUCCUCCCUCCCUUCCUGCCUCCCUUCCUGCCUUCCUUUCCUGCCUUCCUUCCCUGCCUUCUCUCCUUUCCUCCCCCCUGCUCUUGCCUGGCAGGCACAUGGCAUGGCCGGAUCCAGAACCCUCUGAAGCAGCCCAGGACACUCCAUGGCAGGACCCUCGGUAAGCACCCAAGACCUUCAGCC